CGGGGGGGCAAGCGUUGUUCGGAAUUACUGGGCGUAAAGGGCGCGUAGGCGGUUGGAUAAGUCAGCUGUGAAAACCACGGGCUUAACUCGUGGCCUGCAGUUGAGACUGUCUGGCUUGAGUGUGGGAGAGGAGAGUGGAAUUCCUGGUGUAGCGGUGAAAUGCGUAGAUAUCAGGAGGAACACCGGUGGCGAAGGCGGCUCUCUGGACCACAACUGACGCUGAGGCGCGAAAGCUAGGGGAGCAAACAGGAUUAGAUACCCUGGUAGUCCUAGCUGUAAACGAUGGAUACUUGCUGUGGGGGGUGUUAAAUCCCCCUGUGGCGGAGCUAACGCAUUAAGUAUCCCGCCUGGGGAGUACGGUCGCAAGGCUG
rnacentral:rRNA from 1 species